rnacentral:rRNA from 1 species
CUACGGGAGGCAGCAGUGGGGAAUAUUGCACAAUGGAGGAAACUCUGAUGCAGCAACGCCGCGUGGAGGAUGACACUUUUCGGAGCGUAAACUCCUUUUAUAUAGGAAGAUAAUGACGGUACUAUAUGAAUAAGCACCGGCUAACUCCGUGCCAGCAGCCGCGGUAAUACGGAGGGUGCAAGCGUUACUCGGAAUCACUGGGCGUAAAGAGCGUGUAGGCGGGUUAAUAAGUCAGAAGUGAAAUCCUAUGGCUCAACCAUAGAACUGCUUUUGAAACUGUUAACCUAGAAUAUGGGAGAGGUAGAUGGAAUUUCUGGUGUAGGGGUAAAAUCCGUAGAGAUCAGAAGGAAUACCGAUUGCGAAGGCGAUCUACUGGAACAUUAUUGACGCUGAGACGCGAAAGCGUGGGGAGCAAACAGGAUUAGAUACCCUUGUAGUC